AUUGAACGCUGGCGGCAGGCCUAAUACAUGCAAGUCGAGCGGAGCGGCGGACGGGUGAGUAAUGCCUAGGAAUCUGCCUGGUCGUUGGGGAUAACGUCCGGAAACGGGCGCUAAUCCCGCAUACUAUCAGAUGAGACUAGGUCGGAUUAGCUAGUUGGUGGGGUAAGGGCCUACCAAGGCGACGAUCCGUAACUGGUCUGAGAGGAUGAUCAGUCACACUGGAACUGAGACACGGUCCAGACUCCUACGGGAGGCAGCAGUGGGGAAUAUUGGGCAAUGGGCGAAAGCCUGAUCGAGCCAUGCCGCGUGUGUGAAGAAGGUCUUCGGAUUGUAAAGCACUUUAAGUAGGGAAGCGGUACCUACAGAAUAAGCACCGGCUAACUUCGUGCCAGCAGCCGCGGUAAUAC
rnacentral:rRNA from 1 species